AAUACAACGACACGCACAACCACACAUUUUCUCUCCCCUAUACAUCGUCUUCCUUGCUCAGUUUUUCCCAUCCCACAGACCUCUCCUCUCCAUUGCCUUCCUCUUCCUCUAGAUCAGGACCAACGCCGGCCACACUACUGCAAGCUUCUGCUUCUCGUUUGUGUGCGCCGUCAGGAGGAGCACAACCACCCUUUUUCAACAGUUGUUGCUUCUGCCCGCUGCUGCAAAGCAUAAGGACGACCUCCACUUGCCUGCACGGGCAACCGCGGCCACAACAGGUGAUGCAACUAGGUGUUGCUGCGACGACGCCGAUGAUCGAGGCUGCAGCGGAGGUCGCGCUCGUGCACUAGUUCCAAUGACUCCCGGUGCUACCAUGCAGCGCUCGCAAACGUCUACCAGAGCUGCGGUUCUGUGCUCGGCAGCUCCGCUACUGCGAUGAAGCGCUCUCCGGCCGCUCCAGUGUUGUGAUAAAGCGCUCGCCGGCGUCUAUCGGAGCUGCGAUGCAACGCUCGUCGGGGGCUCCAGCGCUGCGAUGAAGUGCUCGCUGGCAGCUCCGUUGCUGCGAUGGAGCGCUCGUUGGCGUCUAUCGGAGUGGUGAUGCAGCACGUGGUGCUGCAAUUGAGGGCUCGCCGGCGGCUCCGAUGCUUCGUUGCAGCGCUCGCUGUUGGCUUCCCGAUGCUGCAAUGGAGCGGUUUGCCAGCGGUGGCCAGGAUGUUACGCAGUAGCAACAUGCGAGUUGUUGUGUUGCUACCUCUCAACGAGAUCGAAGCAGGAGGGCUGAUCGGUGCGGUAGGAAGGAGAAAGUCAUGCGCGCGUUGACCUAUCCAAGGGUUGAGAGAAAGGGGAUCGGAUGGCUGGCAACCCGACUGAUUUCUCGGUUGGUGCGUAGCAACUCCCAUAAACAUUAACCUAGACUCAAUAAAGAAAAUCCUAUGGUAACAUCUCCCCUUUUUUAUCCUAUUCAUAGAAUUUAAGGUAUCAUCUCAUUUCUUAUAAUUCUUUAUUCCUAUGAUUUUUCUACCAUAUGAACCAAAGAGGUGUCAAGCGCUUCUUGCGUUCUUUCUACAACCAUGAAUGUUUGAUGAAUAGGUCAGAGUUUAAAAAAAAAUAAAAAUCUGAUCUAGGCGUGUACGGCCGGGGCAUUGUCCCGUCGCACGGAGCGGAUCAGAGGUGUGAGGAGACUGGACGUACGGUACGGUUCAGUUCGUGGGCGGCGCGCAUGUAUAGAUAUCGCCACCACCCUGCGUCGUGCGUGCGCGGGUGGGGAGCCGACCGGGGGUACUGUGGUGGCCGAUAAGAUCGGGGUCCGGUCCGGGUCGGACCCUCGCCUGCUCGGCUGUUCCCUCCGGCCCCGAUGGGAGCAGAGCGACGACCGCGGUGACGUCGCCUCGCCCGUCUCGGAGGAAUUUCAAGCGGCCGCGUACUGUGCGCGGCUGCGGGGUGCUGUUCCUCUUGUUCGGUUCCCUCCAUCGCCUUGUUCUGGUCGCUGUGCCUAGUUUUUCCUUUCUUUUAUUGUGGCUUGAGCUACAGCACGCUGCCGCUGUUCCUGUGCAGCCACAUGCAGACGUGUAGUACUGCGUCCACCGGCUAGCCCGCGAUGUUCAUUAUACGCCCAGAAACAGAUCACUGUAAUUUGGAAUUCUCUCUUGGCUGAGGUGAUGAAUGGCCGGAGCGGGCCCACUUGUUCGUCACUCUCUUAACGUUACUUGAUUUGUGGCCGCACUUGAUUGCGCUGGACAUCGAGACCUGACCUGACCGCACCCCAUGCAGGAAGGACUAGCACGAAUGAAUUCCGCAGUGUCGCUGUUCCCAUAAACACUCAGAUAGAUGGAUAUUCCGGGUUACGGGAAACGCGACAUUCACAAGAACCAUCCCGAAUAAAACCCACCCGUCUCG
rnacentral:rRNA from 1 species